UACACCUGCGAGGCCGGGACAUCCCCGGCUGGGGCUGCGGCGCGCGCAGGCAACACGGGGCUCCCAGGUGCUCAGCCAGGUGCGCCUUGAUAAGGCCGGGCUGGGCUGUGGACUGGCCCUGCAGCGGCACGCCGCGGUCGAGAAGGCGUCCACGUUUUCCUCCUGGAAGUCCUCGUUUAGUGGAGUCAGAGGAGAAAAGAAAGUCACCGUUGUAUGCCCGACGUAGAAGCCACUCAUCCUGGGAGCACCCCGCGUUCUGGAGCUCUAGGAAGCCAGUAACUUAUGUCAGUUGCCUGGGUGUGGAGGGUGACCCCUAAACCUCAGACGCCUGCCUCAGAGUCACCCCGCGGAGCGUGGGGACAGAUCCUCUGCUGCCUUAUCAUGCACUGCAGAGCCUACUUCUUGCUGGAGAAAGACUUCCUGGAGUUGAAGGAGAACAAUUAUCCGGGUAUUGCUGCCUUUCCUGUAAGUGAAGAUCUGUUGGAAUGGGAAGCUGAAAUUGAAGGUCUGCAGAAUACCAUUUGGCACGGAUUACCCUUCCAACUAACGAUAAAUUUUACACCGGAGUACAAUUUUGUCCCUCCAACUGUGAAAUUUAGAACAAUUCCUUUUCAUCCAAAUGUAGACCUAUAUACUGGCCGGCCCUGUAUAGACUUUUUGGACAAUCCUGAUAAGUGGAGUACAAGCUAUACAUUGAGCAGCAUCCUACUUACCCUCCAGGUCAUGCUCUCUAACCCAGUGCUAGAAAACCCAGUGAAUUUGGAAGCAGCCCAAAUUCUGAUUAAAAAUGAACAUAUGUACAGCCUGAUAGUUCUAAGACUUUUCGACCAGCCAGUACAAUUGAAAGAUGACUAUCCUGAGUUACGUAAAGACCCAGAUAAAUUUAUCAGAUCAAUUAAAGUAGUCUCAUUUGACGAUUACUACAAGACAUGGUCUGGAAUAGCCACGUCAAAACCCACAGACUAUUACAGAACUCCAUUCAAUUCAGCAAACGCAUCUCGAGUACUUACUACGUGUGAGGCACUGAAGAGCUCAGAAGGAAUCCUGGGGGCGGUACCCUCAACAAACACAGUGUGCAGAGGCACUUGGCACCCUCUGGGGACCGACUCAGUGUCCAACUGCUUCAACCGAAAAACAAGCUGAGUGGUAUAGGAUGGCGCUUCGUGGAAUGACAGACGAGAAAACCAAGACCAAGAGAAGGUAUGUGAUUUACCAAAGGUCACACAUAUAGGAGGGAACAUUAUAUAUUGGUAAAGAGUGCAAAUUCUGGAGCCAGAUUGCUGAGAUUUAAUCCUGCCUCUCCCAUUUACUAACAUGUGACCUUGGGUAAGUUUCUUAACCUCUCUGUGUCCCAUUUACCUCAUCUGUACCAUGAGAAUAGUUAUAGCAUACCCCUCACAGGGCUGGAGCCCUGCAAGAGUGCCCAGCACCCAGUGAGUGGCUGUUAUUAAUUACUGCAGGUAGCCUGUGGCCCAAGGACUGGAACCAGAUCUGACUCCACAUUUGUCGCUCUUUCUCUCAUACUAUACAGCCUCCAGAAUAUGAUAUAAAGUUGUUUUCUCUGUAAACCCUGAGAUUUAAAUUCAAACUCUGAAGUCUAUGCAACACAUUUUUCAAUAAUUGUAAUUAUUAGUUUAUAGUCACAGACAAUCAUAUGGGACAAUGUACUGAUGACCCACGGUUCUCUGCCCAUCACUACAGAAUGGCAAAGAAAAAGUUUGGCAGAGAACAAAUCAGCACAUGUGGUUGUGGGCAACAGCACAUUAAUGACAGAAGAUGAUCCUCAUAAGGAAAUGUUCAUCUUUGGGGAAGAGAAUUCCUUCAGACCAGUGUGCUCUGGAACCGUGAGUGCAGGCUUCCUGUGUGUGCUUGCUGUCAUCGAAACAGUCCUACCAGCCUGAAGCGUCCUGGGUUGCUCGCUUUCACCCUAGGAGACCUUCAUUCUUUGAGCUUUGAGCCAGCAACACCCCGCCUCCAAGAUGCAUCAGAUGCAAAAAGCAAUGUUGUCUAAGUCUGACGCACUGGCUCUCAGGCUGGACCGCUCCUCUGAACCACCAGCAGAGCCUGUAAAAAUUCCCACCUCAGCCCCAACCCAUCAGGAUCUCUGGGAGCAGGACCAGGCGGGAGUAGUUUGUGAAGCUCCCCAGGUGGUUACAGUGUGCAGCCGAGGUUAGAAGGGCUCUGGCGGGCAGAGCGUGACGUCCACGGUUAGAGACUCCUCCGCCCUCGACUAGUUUUGCGCAUACAGUUAAGAGAAUUUAGACUCUUGCUUUAGGAAAGAUCAGGAUCUGGAAUGUCGCUUCCAACUCCAGGAUUCUAUUUUGCCGCUUGAAGUGCUGAGUCAGAAUUUUGUUAAACUAUGGUGUCUGCAGUUUCUAUGUGAGUUAUUUUAACACCUUCUUCAUGACUACAAAUUAUAUGUAAACAAAUGUCUUUAUAAUGAAAAGUUUUAAAGUCACAAUCUACUUAUUUUAAACAAUAUCUAAUAUUACAAAGUUCAAAUAAAAGGAAGAAAUUUGGAAAGUGUCCGAGCAUUGUAACGUGACUUGAACUGUAGAGUGUGCGUCAUUGCCACAUAUCGACUUAAUGAAGUCUAUC